GAUGAACGCUGGCGGCGUGCCUAAUACAUGCAAGUCGAACGAAACUUCUUUAUCACCGAGUGCUUGCACUCACCGAUAAAGAGUUGAGUGGCGAACGGGUGAGUAACACGUGGGCAGCCUGCCCAAAAGAGGGGGAUAACACUUGGAAACAGGUGCUAAUACCGCAUAACCAUAGUUACCGCAUGGUAACUAUGUAAAAGGCGGCUAUACUACCGCUUUUGGAUGGGCCCGCGGCGCAUUAGCUAGUUGGUAGGGUAAAGGCUUACCAAGGCAAUGAUGCGUAGCCGAAUUGAGAGGUUGAUCGGCCACAUUGGGACUGAGACACGGCCCAAACUCCUACGGGAGGCAGCAGUAGGGAAUCUUCCACAAUGGGCGAAAGCCUGAUGGAGCAACGCCGCGUGGGUGAAGAAGGUCUUCGGAUCGUAAAACCCUGUUGUUAGAGAAGAAAGUGCGUGAGAGUAACUGUUCACGUUUCGACGGUAUCUAACCAGAAAGCCACGGCUAACUACGUG
rnacentral:rRNA from 1 species